CUUAAAGGAUGUGUUGUUAGAUUAAUCCCACACAAUUUUUGAAUGGUAAACAAGAUACAAAAGAAUGAGGCAAUGAGCAUCUUCUAAGUGUGAUGAAGAGCAGCUCAAAAGUCUGCCUCCUCAAAAACAUGUGACCUAGGUGCAUGUUAAACUGCUAUUCAUGUCUUAUAACAAAAAAAAACCUUGCCACACUACCGAAAAACUAAAAGUUGGAACUUCUUUUAUGGUCUCCAGAUUUUUUUUUUUCCCUGGUCACUUGGAUGUCUGUUUCUGGUUUAUGUUAUCACUUGCUUUUCCCCCAGGAAUGCUCCAGGAUCAUAAUGUCAAGCUGCUGAAAAGACACAUGUUUUUU
rnacentral:lncRNA from 7 species